GCGGGCGUGGUUUAAUGGUAGAACGAUUGCCUUCCAAGCAGUACGUCCGGGUUCGAUUCCCGGCGCCCGCA
rfam:Candidatus Taylorbacteria bacterium RIFCSPHIGHO2_01_FTLL_51_15 rifcsphigho2_01_scaffold_1978, whole genome shotgun sequence.